rnacentral:rRNA from 1 species
UACGUAGGGACCAAGCGUUGUUCGGAUUUACUGGGCGUAAAGGGCGCGUAGGCGGCGCGGUAAGUCACUUGUGAAAUCUCUGAGCUUAACCCAGAACGGCCAAGUGAUACUGCAGUGCUAGAGUGUGGAAGGGGCAAUCGGAAUUCUUGGUGUAGCGGUGAAAUGCGUAGAUAUCAGGAAGAACACCCGUGGCGAAGGCGGUUCUCUGGGACGGUACUGACGCUGAGACGCGAAAGCGUGGGGAGCGAACAGG